rnacentral:rRNA from 1 species
UGCCAGCAGCCGCGGUAAUACGGAGGGGGUUAGCGUUGUUCGGAAUUACUGGGCGUAAAGCGCGCGUAGGCGGAUUAGUCAGUCGGGGGUGAAAUCCCGGGGCUCAACCUCGGAACUGCAUUUGAAACUCCCAGUCUUGAGUUCGAGAGAGGUGAGUGGAACUCCGAGUGUAGAGGUGAAAUUCGUAGAUAUUCGGAAGAACACCAGUGGCGAAGGCGGCUUACUGGACCGGUACUGACGCUGAGGUACGAAAGCGUGGGGAGCGAACAGGAUUAGAUA